CCGGGACGCAUGUUCUAAAGGCACACCCAGGAGAAUUAUACAUAUAGAUUGAGUAUUGUAUGGAGUUGGGGCUAGGACGUUAUAGAAAUGCUGCCCCAUUUGGCCUGAGUGCUGCCUCUGAGAAUGGUGGGAUACAGAGCAAAACCUCCUCCAUGGAUCUUGCAGGAAAACAAAAUCCAGCUAUAAAAUCUGUUUGACCUUAUCAGCAUAAGCUGAGCUGACAGGUCUCUUCUUGAUGGGUGAGUGUGGUUUUGGUAGUGAAUUGUAG